ACAAAAUCCCUUCCUUAUUGACUUUCUGCUCGACUGGGACACUCAAUCAUGACAUAAAAGACGAAAUAACAAUGAAGAUUUGAGGUUAUAUUUACAGCCAAUCAACAUGCCUGAUUAUCUAAUAGAACCAAGUGCCAAAAUGUAGGAAAAGAAGUUACUGUCUUAGUCAGGACCUCCAUAGCUACUACACAUCAUUUUGUCGCGUCCAUUCACAAAUAUUCCAUUUCUUGAUAAUGACGAGUCAAUGGCAAUGCAGGUCAACUUUGGCUUUAUUUUUAAAAAUCAUAAGAUAGGCAGUAUUUCCGGGUCAAACUGACACGAAUGCGUACACUGGAAUGUUUUGUCUCAACGCAUUCAAAACUAUCCAGGGGACCUCAUUCGGCGUAAGCCAAUCUUAUUCAGUGAUAAUAUAAAAGCUUGACCCUUCCAUGGUGUCAGUACUAAUAUAUGCAUUUCAUAGUUGUGGAAAUUAAAUUUGAAUCUGAUGAAUAUGGAUGAUUAUGAAUUCUUGUCGUAAAUUUUCUGUUUUACGUUUGAGCUUCCCGUUAUCUACGAAAAACAGAAACACAAGUCGUUUCACGAAAACGAAAGAAUUGAAGGAGGAGGACGAUAAAGUCGGAAGGAAGUGCAGCACUGAAAUAUAAUAUUUAGGUUAUAGUGGAAUGUUUAAAUAAUCUUGUCUUUAUAAAAAUCAAUGUACGUUUUAUUCAAAUAGUAUAAACUUCCAUAGCUUUAAAAAUCCCUUCAAAUUUUGGCUAACAGUAUGGCUGAUAACGGUUUUGCUUAUAAUUAUUCUGCUUGCGUGACACUGUUUGGAAAGCAGUCGUUGUGUGGUGGUUUAGAGCAUCUAAAGCUGAAGUACUUCAAGAUACAUUACUUAACUAUGCUAUGUUCAUUUAGUAAAUCUUAAAUACUUGGAGCAUAAGAACUAAUUAAUGUAAUGAUAAUAUGUUCUUUCAGUUUCUGAGAAAGCAUUAAAUGUUCGCCAAAAUAUUUGACUAAGUUAUCGUUUAGUAGGUAGUGAGUAUAUGUACCUUAGUAGGUAGUGAGUAUAUGUACCCUCCAAGACGUUUUCAAAGCUCUGUAUCUAAACCUUUAUCCAAAAGCAAAGAAUACCAUAGCUCUCUCUCUAUCUUUUUUUUUUUUUUUUUUUUUUUUUUUUU